rnacentral:lncRNA from 1 species
AAUCCCCUUGAAAAAGUAUAAAAGUUAAAGACUACUGAUAUUCUUGGAAUAGAAACAUUUAAUUUGGCAAAGGGAAUUAGUUGCUCAUAGAACACACAAUAUUUUUCCUAAAUUAUGGUUCUUUUAGAUUAUGGUUACAUAUAUUCUUUACUGGAUUACAGCAACGAGCUAAAAUUAAUUCUGUUUUUAUUUAUUUUUGUGUAGUUUCAGGAUAGUUUGUGGUAUCAAAAAGUGAAGCAUCACAGUUACAGAGCGGGAUAUAUCUUUAGAUAAUAUCAGGUGUUAUUAACGUUGUUAAGAUAGUCAU